GAAAUGCGAUAAGUAAUGUGAAUUGCAGAAUUCAGUGAAUCAUCGAAUCUUUGAACGCACAUUGCGCCCGUCAGCAUUCUGGCGGGCAUGCCUGUUCGAGCGUCAUUUCAACCCUCAGGACCCCCCUUUCGCGGGGAGGGACCUGGCGUUGGGGAUCGGCCCGCCCCCCGCGGCGGCGCCGUCCCCGAAAUCUAGUGGCGGUCUCGCUGCAGCCUCCCCUGCGUAGUAGUUACAACCUCGCAUCGGAGCGCGGCGCGGCCACGCCGUAAAACCCCCGACUUUCUGAACGUUGACCUCGGAUCAGGUAGAAAUACCCGCUGAACUUAAGC
rnacentral:misc_RNA from 1 species